rnacentral:rRNA from 1 species
CAAUAGCGUAUAUUAAAGUUGUUGCAGUUAAAAAGCUCGUAGUUGGAUUUCUGGUGGGAGCGAUCGGUCUGGCGCUUAGCGCGAGUACUUGCAUCGUCUCCGGCCAUCCUUGGGGAGAGUCUGUCUGGCAUUAGGUUGUCGGGCAGAGGAUCCUCAUCGUUUACUGUGAAAAAAUUAGAGUGUUCAAAGCAGGCUUAUGCCGUUGAAUAUAUUAGCAUGGAAUAAUAAGAUAGGACUUUGGUACUAUUUUGUUGGUUUGCGCACCAAAGUAAUGAUUAAUAGGGACAGUUGGGGGUAUUCGUAUUCCGUUGUCAGAGGUGAAAUUCUUGGAUUUACGGAAGACGAACUACUGCGAAAGCAUUUACCAAGGAUGUAUUCAUUAA